GUCUCCAUAGCUCAGCUGGAUAGAGCGUUCGCCUCCUAAGCGAAAGGCCCGCGGUUCAAAUCCGCGUGGGGACGCCA
rnacentral:tRNA from 1 species